rnacentral:lncRNA from 1 species
CUGAGCUGAAGGUCAUUACGUUUCUGGGACACAGCAGACAUGACCUCUGUUUCCUUUAAGAAAAACAUAGUGUGUAGUUCUUAUGUAUUUUGGAGGACAGGAGGAAGAAACAAUAUUUAACUGCUGAAGAAGAGCACUAGCCUUUCUUUUAUUUAGCUGAAUGGAGAAUUCUGAGAGGGACAAACAUUGUACGAAAUAGUGAAUAAGGUGGACUUGACAAUGGGGCUAGAAAGGUCACAGCGCCAGAAAUUAGCUGGGAAAGAAUAUGCAUUGGGAUACCUGACUCAACCUUUCCUGUUUCUCCUCAAACCGUAAUGAGAACCAAAUGAGGCGCAGCUUCCUCCAAAAGGCUGCGUCAAUGGCACAGAUGAGGGUUCGGAAGCAUGGAAUUACCCUCAGCGGUUGGAUGGUUGAAAGUGUGGUGAAAAACCCUAGGGUUCAUGACUUCAGGACUUGUACUGGGGCAGGGAUGGAUUAAUGUAAAUUGGAGGCAAUGGAAAUCACUGCAAUGGAGAGGGAGGAUGCCUGAAGCCACCGAAAGUCCUGAAGGCCCGUGAAGGGGUCUUUACACCAAGCGACAAGUUUGGGCUUUGUGUUGAGGGAGAGAGUGGUAAAUGCUAUGCUCCUGUCCUCUUCUCUGAUUAUGGAACGGGAUGAAUAGGGGCAUGGUCCCCUGUUUGCAUGUACUAAUUGUGUCCUGUAAAAGCGAACUAAAUAUGACCUGAGAGGGACUCCAUACUUCUAUUAUCUGAGUCCUUGUGGACAAACUGUAACCUAACUUAAUACGUAGAUAAGGUUGAAAACUUCAGUUGGGAGUGUGUGCCAGUAACAGUGGCUGGGGCUUGGCCAAUCCCAGCAGCCAUACAUCGACCACUCAUACACUGCCGAGUGUUCAAACUGUGUUCAAAUAAGGCAAAUGCUGAGCUGUAACCAAUCUAGUAGUUUCUGUACCUCACUUCUGAUUUCUGUAUGUCACUUCCCUUUUUUUUUUGCCCAUCAUUCUUCUUCCACUAUGUGGCUGUGCUGGAGCCUCUGUGAAUCUGCUGUGAUUCCGGGGGCUGCCCCAUUCGCGAAUCGUUCAUUGUUCAAUUAAACUCCUUUAAAUUUAAUUUGGCUGAAGUUUUUCUUUUAACAGUCCUUUCCAAGGGGACGCCACCUUCUUUCAGCAGGUCAACAAUUUUCAAGAUGCUAGGCCAUGGGGAAAUGUAUGAGGUUUGCCUGUGCCUUCCUGAGAGUCUACUAGACUGAGUUGGUGAUCUUCCUCUUUCACUGCUAUGGUCUGAGUGUUUAUGUUCCCCUAAAAUUCGUAUGUUGAAGCCCUAAUGCGCA